GAAGGACGCUCAGGGUCGUAACAACACGGCCUUCCAUUGGCUGAAGAGCACCCGGCUCCCGCCUGAGCCAAUGCGCAGACGGAAGCUGAUGACGAAGUACGCGACUCUUCUUCCCAGGGCUCCUGGGACGUAUCUGGAGACCCAGGCUCCUGUCGCACCGCUCUGCGGCCAGGCUGCCUUAUGUGCACCCUGCAGCUGCACCUGCUGCUGCUGGUGGUCCUGAUGCUUUCUGAGACCGCCCGACCGCAGCCCUCCUCCACAGCCCGGGCUUUCCCCACCUCCUGGGGCCUGGAGCCAGUGACGCCCGAAGUGCCAACCUCAGCUCCUCCGGAUUCGUCUGAGAGUCCGACUCCCUGGACUCUAUCGAUGCCCGUGAACGCGACCACCGACCCCUUUCCAGCUUUACCGAUCUGUGUCUGUGACUUGACUCCGGGUACCUGCGAUUUAAACUGCUGCUGUGACAAGGACUGCGAUCUUCUCCAUCCCAGAACAGUCUUUUCCUUCUGUCUUCCUGGUAGUGUAAGAUCUUCAAGUUGGGUAUGUGUGGACAACUCUCUUAUGUUCAGGAGCAACUCCCCGUUCCCUUCCAGAGUUUUCACGGACUCCAGUGGAACGACACAGUUUUGUGUCCGUGUGAACAACUCAAAAGCAAACUAUUUCCAGAAGCUCCAAACAGUCAAUGCAACCAACUUCCAGGCCCUGGCUGCAGAGUUCGGAGGCCAGUCCUUCCCUUCAAUGCCACCAGAAACCCAGCCGCCAGUACUAUUCUAUAGGGCUGGGGAUCCCAUCCUGACCUACUACCCGAGCUGGUCUGUGGUGAGCUUACUGAGGCAGCCUGCAGCGGUGGGAGCUGGGGGACUUUGUGCCGAGAGCAACCCUGCAGGUUUCCUAGAGAGUAAAAGCACAACGUGUCCUCGUUUCUUCAGGGACCUGGCCAGUAGCUGCACCUCGGAGCCAGCCCUGGAUGCUGCCUCUUACUAUAACUUCAGAGUCUUGAAGGUUCCAAGAGGUGUGACUGAUCUUCAGAAUAUGAAGUUCCAGGUUCCUGUGACGCUUGCCUCACAAGCCAGCCCUCCUCUGUUGGCUGGAAACACAUGUCAGAAUAUCGUUUCCCAGGUCGUCUACGAGAUAGAGACCAAUGGGACCUUUGGGAUCCAGAAAGUCUCUGUCAGCUUCCGACAGACCAACCUGACUGUCAAGCCAGGGGUCUCCUUACAGCAAGACUUCAUCGUUCACUUCAGGGCAUUUCAACAGAGAAAGGCCGCUGCUCCUGCUGCUCCGAGAAGUGGGAAUCCUGGCUACCUCACUGGGAAGCCACUCUUAGUGCUAACUGGUGACACAAGUCACUCGGUAUCCUUUUGGGGGCGGGGUAGACUAUUGCAGCCUGACAAGAAUGGUUGCUGACCUUCCUGGUUUUCCAUUUUUCAAGGUUCUGAUGGGCUUGGGUAGCAUGUUCUGUACCUAAGUAUAUUACGUACGUUCUUAAAGGUUGAUGCGGCCAAGGGCUUUAUACCUCACACAACUAUUGGUGGAAAUUACACCAAUGUUUGCUUAUUUUAGUGUGAUAUUCGUAUGCUUAUAUAUGGUUAAUGGGUUUUUAGAAAGACAGUCGUUGUCUAGUUUUUUAACUACUAGAAAAAAUGUGUGAGUGAGCCUGUGUGAGUGAGCCGUCAGUAUAUUAGUAAAAUACAAACAGUGCUUAGGGGUCCGAGAAAGCCCAGCCCUGCCCGCUUCCUAUGUCUGUCUCAGUCGCCUUGACCAUCACUCUUGCAUCUCAGAUGACCCUGUUGCAGAGCGAGGGUAAUGGGCUUUGCUCUGCUAAGAGACACGCAGUACAGUUUGGAGUGAACGCAGUAUCUGGGUGCCAGUUAAGGUAAUUAUUUGCCUCAGAGCACCUCCCACCAUUUUGUUUCUGUUUCUAGGGCCUAUGUAGAAGUAGUAACUGUUUACUACUUCAAAUAACACUUUAGAAGAAGAUAGUCUUUGUGUCUAUGGAGCACCUGCUAAGGUUACUUCCUCUGACCCAGAGAGGUGAACUGCAGCCACUUGCAGGAGGAGGUUUAUCAGACUCUGCACGGAAGGCCCAGACCGGAGCACGUUGCCGUCUUUGGCAACGCUGACCCAGCCCAGAGAGGAGGGUGGACCAGGAUCCUCAGCAGAGACUGCAGCGUUUCAGCAGUUAACUGCACUUCCUGCUGUCUGAUACCAGUGUCCCUGGAGAUCCAGGUGUUGUGGGCACAUCUAGGACUUCAGUCCAACCCACAAGCUCAUGUGGCCGGAGCCAGAUUCCUGUACCAAUGCAAGUCUGUACAGGAGCACCAGAGAGGAAUAGAAGUAUCUUUGACGACUCUUGUGAACUUUGUGGACAUUACCCAGAAGCCAGAGCCUCCUAGGGAUCAACCCAGAAUAGACUGGAAGCUGCCAUUCGAUUUCUUCUUUCCCUUCAAAGCGGCGUUGAGCAGAGGGGCCAGUGUGCAGAAAGACUCUCUCGUUCUCAUCCUGUGUGUCUUACUACUUGGACUUCUCAACUCACAGACCAAGUGAAGAAAGAAAAGAAUCCGGUUUCAUUUUUCCCUAUGGGAAACAAAGACAGCCUACUUAUCUUGGCUAAAUAGGUCCUCAUGAUUACUCAUGAUUAUAGGAGGGAAUUUAGGGAAACAGGACCUAACGAAAAGGAAUUUUUUUCUUUCCAUUUUCUCACUAUGUCGUCUUGGUUGGCCUAGAACUCCCAAUGUAGACCAGGCUGGUCUCAGGCGCACAGAGAUUUUCCCCUUUGCCUCUGCCUCCAGAGUGCUGGAUUAAAGGCACGUGCUAUCACGCCCAGCCAGGAAUCUUUAUGAACUGAAGAUGGUACGCUAGAAAAGUGACUACAAGUAUUCCAUCUUCAUAGCUCUCCUCUUGGGGGGCUCCUCGGACCUCCAGAUACACACUGGGUUCUCUGCGUCUAAAGCUGGGCAGGCCAAGAGCCCCCAUCUCUUCAGGUUGUGUUUGCCAGGAUCUCAUAGGCGCAUGCUCCUGCAUCAUCCAGAGUGAACUCAGAGAGGCUGGCCCCUGCAUUAGUGCUGACAAUUCAAGCCGGGAAACUGCUGGCUCUGUGUUUUGUCUGGCUCUUUUGCCAAAGUUAUAGCCACACCCUUUACCCAGACCUGAGUUAGAAAAGUAGUUCUUUCUACUCGUUUCCCAAAGUGAAUGGCGUCCUAUGUCCUUUUCUCACUAGCAAAUGACUCCACCAGUCCUUUCUGUCCUCCCCUACUUUGUGGUGUGGUGUAAUAGAAGUGACUGAGAGCUCUCUUCUGUUAUGUCCAGUAGCGUGGCAGAAGUUGACACCUCAUGAUAGACACCCUGAGGAUUUUUAUGUAUAUGAGGUUUAAAGGGGAACUGGGACUCUCAUAAACUGUAUUUGAAUCAGG